CCACGGACCACAGACAGAGCUCAGAGAACUGCAACAACCUCACCAAAUUCACCAGAAGGAGCUGGACGUCGUGAUGACAAUGUGGAACACCGGGAUCCAGCCAGGCACUAAAAGAUACGAUCCCUUCCAUGGAAAACCUUUCCUCUGUAUCAUGUACCAGAACUUUACCGAGCACAGGACGACCUCCAGCCAGUGGACAGAGGGAACAUUGUCUUGGAAGAGGACAUCUGUCUUUGGAAAACUGACUUUGUCUGUGAUCCAGAUCUUCACCAGCUCUGCCUUGUGGUCAUAAAUAAACUGAAUCUUGAGGCAGGUCAUAAUGCUGCUGAGGCAA